rnacentral:rRNA from 1 species
GGAUCAAUUUUGUCGGUCGUGCCCUUUGGUACGUACUGGUAUUAUUGGUUUCUAUCUUCUGAAGAACCUUGAUGUCAUUAAUUUGAUGUCUUGGGAAAUCAGGACUAUUACCUUGAAAAAUUAGAGUGUUUAAAGCAGGCAUGCGCUUGAAUACAUUAGCAUGGAAUAAUAAAAUAGGACGUUCGAUUCUAUUUUGUUGGUUUCUAGGAUUGACGUAAUG